rnacentral:rRNA from 1 species
AUUGAACGCUGGCGGCAGGCCUAACACAUGCAAGUCGAACGGUAGCACAGAGAGCUUGCUCUUGGGUGACGAGUGGCGGACGGGUGAGUAAUGUCUGGGAAACUGCCCGAUGGAGGGGGAUAACUACUGGAAACGGUAGCUAAUACCGCAUAACGUCUUCGGACCAAAGUGGGGGACCUUCGGGCCUCACACCAUCGGAUGUGCCCAGAUGGGAUUAGCUAGUAGGUGGGGUAAAGGCUCACCUAGGCGACGAUCCCUAGCUGGUCUGAGAGGAUGACCAGCCACACUGGAACUGAGACACGGUCCAGACUCCUACGGGAGGCAGCAGUGGGGAAUAUUGCACAAUGGGCGCAAGCCUGAUGCAGCCAGGCCGCGUGUAUGAAGAAGGCCUUCGGGUUGUAAAGUACUUUCAGCGGGGAGGAAGGCGUUAAGGUUAAUAACCUUGGCGAUUGACGUUACCCGCAGAAGAAGCACCGGCUAACUCCGUGCCAGCCGCCGCGGUAA